GGGCGGCGGUCUUCGAGGUAGCCCUUGUACUCGUUAUUGACGAAGGAGUGCGGAACGCGGAUCGAAGCACCGCGAUCGGCAAUGCCGUAGCUGAACUUGUUCNGCGCGGUCUCGUGCUUGCCGGUCAGACGCUUGUCGUUGUCCGGGCCGUAGACGGCGAUGUGGUCCAUCAGGUUCUUGUCGAACUGCUUCAUCAGAGCUUCGAAAUAGUCUUUGCCGCCGACCGUGCGCAUGUACUCGGU
rnacentral:misc_RNA from 1 species